UAUAUACCGGCAUUCCUUGUAUGUUAAUCUUUGUAUCAUGGAAUAGUCUAAUAUAAAAACUGAUGAUGCAGCUAAUGUUUGUAUUGUACCUAAUGCUUUAACACAUAGACUUUACCAACUUUUUCUAGAAAAAAACGUGGCGGUGCAUUUGAGCAACAAUCUUACAAUUUCGCAAAUCUUGAAUUCUUCAAUUUGAGAUCAGACACAAAAAACACAAUCUUGAAAUCAAGAAUUGCUACUUUUGGAAAUGGAUCUGCCACCAGAAGAGCUUCAAUUCUUGACCAUACCUGAUAUAUUUCAAGAAUCAAUCACCAUACCAAAGAGAUCUCCCAAAACAUUUUAUCUUGUUACCCUUACUUUAGUAUUUCCUUUAUCAUUUGCAAUCUUGGCACAUUCUUUGUUCACUCAUCCAAUUAUUAGUCAGCUUCAAGAAAACCCAAAUUCACCUCAUGCUUCUCAAUGGACUAAACUCAUUGUUAUCCAGUUUUGUUACUUACUUUUCUUGUUUUGUUUCUCGUUGCUUUCAACUGCUGCUGUUGUUUUUACUGUGGCUUCAAUUUACACCUCAAAGCCUGUGUCUUUUUCAUCUACUUUAGCUGCAAUUCCUAGUGUUUUUAAGAGGCUCUUUAUUACCUUUAUAUGGGUUUCUCUUUCUAUGUUGGCUUAUAAUACUGUUUUCUUGAUUUUUCUUGUGCUUUUGAUUGUUGCAGCUGAUACCCAAAAUGUGGUUUUGUUCCUUUUUUCUUUUUUGGUUGUGUUUAUACUUUUCCUUGUGGUUCAUGUUUAUAUAAGUGCAUUGUGGCAUUUGGCUAGUGUGGUGUCUGUUCUUGAGCCUAUUUAUGGUAUAGGAGCUAUGAAGAAGAGUUAUGAGUUGUUGAAAGGAAGGACAGGAAUGGCAUUUUUCCUUGUUUUUGGGUAUUUGUCUAUUUGUGGAGUGAUUAAUGGGUUUUUUGGGUCAGUUGUGGUGCAUGGUGGUGAUAAUUAUGGCGUGUUUUCGAGAAUUGUGAUUGGUGGGUUCUUGGUUGGAGUAUUGGUGAUUGUGAAUCUUGUGGGGCUUUUGAUGCAAAGUGUGUUUUACUAUGUUUGCAAGAGUUACCAUCAUCAGGCAAUAGACAAGACUGCUUUGUAUGAUCAUCUUGGUGGAUACCUUGGGGAGUAUGUGCCUCUCAAAAGUAGCGUUCAGAUGGAGAACUUAGAAGGCGGUGCCAUGACACCAUGAUGAUGGUGAGAGGUGAAAUCCUUGUGCUUUUAUUUGAAUUUGUUGAAUGAUAUGUUUAGCAAGAGGAAUUGUAAAGACAUUAACUUUUAAGUAGGUUGUUGUGUUUUGACACUUGAAUUUGUUCGUUCGUUUACCUUAUAAGUCAUGGUAGUCUUUGUUCUUUGUUCUUCUUUGAUAAAUUCCAUUAAUAUGUGCCAAUUGUGUUUAUAACAAAGGUCUAAGUUCUUUGUACCCAUUAAAGUAUAUCAAGUGUUGUGUUAUGUGAUUGUUCGCCACCCGAGGACCUAUGUAUGAUUGGUUCGCUGCUGUUUAUGAAAGGAAAGUUGUACCAUUGCUCAUUGUAUCAAUUGACAUAAAUUUCUCUAACUUUGUCUUGUAUGUUGUCAAGACAUGUCAAGUCUUCUCUUUGUUUUCCUGUGAUUAUAUCUCCUUAGAAUCCCAUUGGAGAUUGAGAUUCAAUUUAUUAAGUAAGCUGAGUGAUUUAAAUGGGUAUAGGAAUAAUAAAGGAUUGGCCUACCUGUAAUAACUGAGUUGGUAAUUCUGCUAUUUCCGCCUCACUUAACCUCUGCUCUGCCGUAGAACUGAUUUAUUUUUUUCCCUGAAGGAUUGGGAUGGUAUCGUUCUACGGUAGUCUAACUACAUCCACCCCUUUUUGGUUGUAGCGGGGGGGGGGGGGGGGGACUUGAAAAACAAAUAAAAGAGAAGGCGAGCUAUCACCUCAAUGGACAGAAAAGCUCUCACCUCAUGGUGUGUUUCUUUUAUUGGGAAACCGGUUGGGAGAAGAGGAAGGGGUGUGUGGGGGAGGACUGGGAAAGGGGUUGAGUUGAGGUGCUCAAACUUCAUUGUAUUAUGUUUAGUGUGUGAUUGAAGGAGCUGUCUCGGACUCAGUUUUGUGAAUCAAAUAUUCUUUUAACGGUAAUUUGCUAACAGAAUAUUUCUUGGCUUCUGGUUAUGCAGAACUUCAGUUUUAUUUACUCUGCACCACUUUUACUAGUAAAAUAGUUUUGCUACGAAGACACGCAGUGUUUUCUGUACUAACUUAAAGCGGCUAUCCAUGUUUUAAUCUUUCCUCCUUUCUCCUUUUUCUUUGGUUAUUAGUCUUCUCCGCAGAGUCUCUAGUCAUUUGGAUUUGGUUCACCCUUUUCCUGAUGUGAUUUUCAGUUGUAAGUUGCAGCUUCUGUAAAUUAUUGAACCUUGAUCUCUCGCUUGUGAUGAUACUCAGUACACAUAUAUUGAGGGGGUAAGUGGGUGGGGGUUGAGAAUCUGAGCUACUUCAAUGGAGUGAUGUACUCGGAUUACGUCCCCAUAGCCUCCAAUGUCUGGAUGGUCCUCUUUGACUGGCCACCGGUCAUGAAAGGUUGUCUAAGAUUUACUCUGCUACUCAAAGCCUUUUUGUAGGCUUUGCCACAAGGCUAAAGUGAACUAUGGAUUUCUGUUUGAUACUAUGGGUGAUGGCAUCCCGUGUAGGAGCACUAUCUCAUCAAUCUAUAUAUGGGAUGGCUUGCCCAAUUGCUAGUGCAGAGGUCUACCAACUGAGUUAUAUCUCCCGAGCCAGGUGGAGCAUGCAUUAAGAUUGUUUCCCUACGACAGCAGGGGAUUUGCCUUCUGGGUGGAGCUCGUCACACGGGGCUUGCCUAGUGCGUGUUACCUCUCCUGUGUGGUUUGCGAGCUAUUGCACAGGAGUUGGGUUUACCCUGUGCGCACCCAAAGGGUAGCGGCUGCGGGUUCCCAUGUCAUAAAAUAAAAUAAAAAAUUAAAAAAAAAAAGAUUGUUUCUUCUAUUCUUUUCCUUGGACCAGAAAAAGAUAUUUCAGUGAUAUAGCACGACAUAGCUCUCUCUGAGGGAUGAAAUAUCUAAUGUUUUGGUCAGAAUAUCCAUUGUAAUGUCUAUGUUAGAUUCUCUGCUUGUAAGAAGGAAAGGUCAAUAUGGAAACGGAAUCUUGCGUAUUCUGCCUAAACUGGAAGAUCAUUUUAUUAGCUAUAGGAGAGAACGCAAAUUCUUUGAUUGAGGGAUGAUCAACAGGAAAUAUAUGAAAAUAUUGUCAUUUCGAACUUCGAAGCAUUAUGAUGGAAAGAAAGAGAAUCUGCUUUUUGAUUUCUGGUUAUAUCUUUUUCUGAGCUGUCAUACUGCUGUGCCUGAAUAUUUUAUUAGUUUGGAGAGAGAGUGAUUCUAAGGUGGCUAGCUUAUAUAUUGGUUUCUCCACUCCUGUGUGUCCUCACUGACAUGCAAGGAGAACAGAAGAUUUGGAGGAGUAGUAAGAGAGAUGCAACAGCAGUUCCGUUCAACAAGUGGCUGUGGAAUAUAAUUAGGAAAAGUAAAGCUCCAUAUAUGGAUGCCUGCUUUUGUUGGGCUAUUAGUUAUUUUGUCACGUGAUUUCUUAAACUGUCUUAACUUAUCUUGUAGAAAUGGGGGUUGUAUAUUUCAACACCACGUGUCAAAGGUGAUUGCUUAAGCUGUCUUAAAUAUUUUUUGGUUUGAGAUUGACAACAACCAAAGGAGUCAAGUAUCUUUUCUCUUUUGGUGUAAACAUGAAUGCUUAGGGGAAACAGAAGAUAUUUUUGAUGUUUUAGAUAAUUUGUAAAAGGAACAUAGAAAGGAUAAUCCUUCUUUUGUAAUUGUCUAAUUGGGGACUAUACAGUUUGGUAUAGUAAACCUGCCAACAUAUAGAAAUGUUACCAAUGUCCCAAAAAAAAAAAAAAGGGGAAGACUUGGCUUCUGUUGAAGAGCUAGCACCCUUCUGGCACUUCCCCUAGAGGAUCCCUCCAUUAAGGGAAUUGACUUAUCAGUUAUUCUUUAUUUCGACCUGAGUAUCUAAGAGUAAAAGAACUAUGGAUUUUGAAUGACUAAAAAUCGGCAUUCUGUCCCUGGAGAAUGUGUGGGCCCACACGUUUGAACACGUAAAAUACUUGUUAAAAAAGGAGUCUCAGCUGAAGUCAGCUUGUGAGGAAGAGUGGUCUGCCCUAGCACUUAGCUAGCAUGAGUUAGCGAAUGAAGGCUACCUUUGGGCUUUGUGAGUUAUUUUCAUUAACUUUUUUGGAAUUCCGUCACUUCCGAGAGGUCCGAAUGGUUGAUUGUGACUUGGUGGAAUGUUCGAUUCGAUUCCCAAGGCACUUGGAAAGUAUUAGGAUGAGGUCGUUUUUUGAAAUCAAUUUUGUGUGAACAUGAUGAAGGACUUGUGCUUGUUAAAGUUUAUUUUAAAAGAGGAGAUUUCAUUGAUUUAGCUUGCCCUCUAGUCGACCAAAUAGUCCAAGUUUGAGAAUCUUAUAAUGCCGUAUGGCUUGUUUAACUAUAUACUUUGGACAUUUAUGUUGAUUUAAUAAUGGUAAUUUUUGGUUGUUCGGGUUCUCGCAGUUGCUUUGAGUCUGUUUAGAUGUUUCAUUUUACAGCUCUCCUUUGACUCUGCCCUUCUAAGUACUUAGCUAGCAUGAGUUAACAAAUGGAUGGUACCCUUGGGCUUUCCGAGUUAUUUCCAUUAACUGUUUUCUUGUGCUUAGUUAGCCAAGUAGUGCAACUUCGAUGAGGAAAGGAUACUCCUGUAACCCCAUAUGGCUCGUUAAACUAUAUGCUUUGGCACUUAUCUUGGGCUACUAACGGAAACUUUUAAACAAGCAAGGACGUUGAUUAGAUGUUUCCCUUUUGUUUUGAAUUGCUAGCUAAGUAGGCAGUUUGAAACACAUUUUGCUGCUCACAGCCUCAAACUGAGACUAACUGCCGUGAAACCGACAAUUGAAGCCACUUCUCUUUUGGUGACUUAUAAGAUUCAGGGUUAGAUGUUUGACAUAUCACUUACAGUCAUUAAUUAUUGAUGCAACAAAUAGAUAAAAGGAACAGGUGGUGGCUGGCUGAUAGAAAGAAACCAAAGCAAUCCUUCAAUCCUCUUUGUUAUACUCUUGGAACUUCCUGAUAUAUGUGUAAAGCAUUUCAAACUGGAAUUUCUGAGAAAUUGAUGAACAUGAGAGAAUUACAUGCUUGGACUUAAGCGGGGAGCAGGAUCAGAGCUGCUAGUCCAGAAUUAACCACUGAAAUAACAUGGUUGUAGUACAAUUUGGGAUAUCCUUCAAGAGCUACUAGUCCAAUAUUGACCACUGGAAUUACAUGAUCGUAUUACAAUUUGGAUUCCUUCAGAAGGCAACUGGGCAAUAUCCAUUUUGUGAAGUAGCUUGGACAGUUUAGUAUACUUAGUUCCACGGUUCUAAUUUGCUGUGAGCAUGCCAAUGACCUAUACAUUGGGCAAUGAUCAAAACAUAGUUUUGGAGGAUGAACUGAUGAUGAAAAACUAGUUUAGGACAUCCUGAAAGACUUGCUAGAAAAAAAGGAUUCUAGGAGGAAGACAUCCUUCUUUACAUCAGGAGCUUAGCCAACAGUACUUAAUAUCUGCUAAUUUAGGAUUUGGCAAUUACUGCCAGUGCAGAUGCUCGCUCCUGCUAAUUCUUGUGCUUAUCUUUGUUGUUGGUCUCCUGGAUUGUCAAUGUUUCUCUGGCCAUGCCUUCUACUUGUGCUGAAACAGUUAUCAAUCCUUCAAUACAUAGAUCUGGAAAGUUUUUAUUUGAUCUCUUUGGAUUCAGUGAAACCAUGUAGUAGUACAUUUCGGACGUUGAUGGAAGUUCAUUCUACAAGUCUAACAUGCCCAUGGCGCACUUCUCUCUUGAGUACUUGUUUUGGCUCGGAGAGCGAAGAGUUAGCUUUUCUGUGAUUUAUCUGCGUGUGGUUUCCUUCCAUUUUCUCGUUUCUACCUGAUGAGCUUGCAUGUAUCAUGACACGAGAAAGGAGAUAUAUGUUGACGUCUUUAUUAUGCUUAGGUAAGUUUGCAUCUGCAAGGAUAACAAAAUUUCAGGUCAGAGGCCACCUGAUGUCCUUUGUUUGGACAUUUCCCAAGCAACCUGCUGCCGAAGAGGAAUCUUGAGCUGGUCUUCUUUUCUAUGUCAACUGCAGCUAAUCAUGAGCUGGUAUUCUUUAGCUGAAGUUGACUCAGAAAAGAAGACUAGCUCAAGAUUCCUCUUGUAAACAAAUACCAUAAUCUAUUUGCUUCUUAAAAAAACAAAGGGUUGACAUUCUGAUAUAGAACAAGUAGAACCGGUCUAAUUAGAAGGUCUUCUAUAAGUUGAGAUUGAAAGAAAAGCACAGAGAAUGUACACUUCUGCUCGAUGACAACUCUACUUAUUGUCUAUAUAAUUAAUGGAAACUGUAGAUCUGUUUUUGGUUAUAUUCAUGAGUUGUUUAGCUGCCAUUUUCACCAUAGUUGUCCAGCAGAAUCUGCAGCAGUUUGUUCUUAAUGCCUUUUACCUAAUCGUCUUCAUUUUCUUUCUUAUUUUUCCCAUGUCUUUCGUUUUCGUCCUUUACCACUGCUUUCUGAUUACGGGCAUCGCUAUGUUUAAAAUCUUGUGGACCGUCAUGUUUUCUUGAAUUUGAAGUCAGAGGCCACCUGAUGUCCUUUGUUUUGGACAUUUACCUGCUGCCCAAGAAUGGAAAUGAUGCGAGGAAUGCUUCAGUGGUACUUCUUCCUGUUAAUGGAGUGAAGAAUCUAAAUUCAAAAUAAAAAAGGUACUCGGGUGUUGUUGUGAAAGGAUCUUGGCAAAUAAAAGUGGAGCUGUGCAGAUAACAAACUGUGGCUGCGCUGAAGAUAACCCUGAUUGUCAGAAAACCUUGCCAUUUCUCCCUUCUCUGCUCAAUCUUGAGGGAUAAGACAGACUAGACUUUUUCUUUCCUAGAUGUGGAAAUUGAUUCUGUUGUUCCUUUUUGUGCAAAAAAGUACAGAAACCUGUAAGUUUAUUUGAUUGGAUUAGUUAAAAUACUUUUAUCAGUUUAGUUUUACUAUUAGAGCCUUGGUUUAUGUCAAUACUUUUUUAGUGCAAAAAGUACAGAAGAUUGUACUAAUUAAGCUUGUUUGAUUUGAAUUAAUUUAACUAUAAUUGGUUACAUUUA